GACGGAGACCCCUAGCGUUGUUCGGAAUUACUGGGCUUAAAGCGCGUGUAGGCGGAGCGGUAAGUACUUUGUGAAAGCCCUGGGCUCAACCCAGGAAUAGCUUGGUAUACUGCCGUUCUUGAGGCAGGUAGGGGUUACUGGAACCUUAGGUGGAGCGGUGAAAUGCGUAGAUAUCUAAGGGAACGCCUGUGGCGAAAGCGGGUAACUGGGCCUGACCUGACGCUGAGACGCGACAGCGUAGGGAGCGAACGGG
rnacentral:rRNA from 1 species